UAUUCUCGCUGUACAAUUCGGUGAACAACUGCAAGAAGAGGAGGAGAAAGAGAAGAAGAAGAGAGCUACAAUUUGGGGGCUGCUGCACUCAGGAACCUAAAUAAUCGGCAAGGACACGCAAUUGAUUGCGGAGAUCUAUCGUGCACGGUGAUUUGCCUUUUGAGGGGUUUUCAUAUUUUCUCCGGAUUUAAUGCUUAGAGCUCAAGGGGUGAGGGCAAGAUUUGUUGUUUGAACUGAAGGAAGGCAAGGUCCUUUAUUUAAAGGAAACAAGGGACAUGUGGAAAUCAGAAUUUCCACUCCAUGUGGCAGCCUCUAGUUGGUCCUAUGAAUCCUAAAUUGUCGGAAAGUGUUUCAUUUUUUUUGGGCUGAACUUUACACCUCCAUUUGAGUUUCAAACAUUGAAAUUUGAGUCAUUUACAUUCA